AAGUGAGACUGGAAAAAUGGCUCUCAGAGUUCCCGCCUCUGCAGUAGAGGAAGACACUCCAGAAGGAGUUGAGAAUGGGUGCUGAGUGCCUCUUCAGGAUGUCUGUCACACCUCAGGAAACCUGCCAGGAAUACCAAAGGGAGUGAAAAAUCCAAGGUUGGGAAGCCCUGGGACAUUGAAGUUACAACUGGACGAUAAAAACAGAGUUUUUUCCUUGUGACGUGACCACUGUGAUGUAAAGCUGUAUCUCCUUCAUUUCAUCAAGAAAUUCUUAAAAUUCUCCCCCAACGUGCUUUCAUCUUUCCCUUCAUUGCCAACUCUGAAUACUUGUCAUUGAAAUUAGGGCCCACCUGGAUAAUCCAUGAUGAUCUCAUCUCAAGAUCCUUAACUUAAUGACAUCUGCAGAGACUGGUUUAUCAAAUAAGGGACUGUGGCUAUAUCGCUGACCUCAAGAAAACCUGCGGACAAAAUCUGCUAAAGAAGUAUCAGCAUCUAUUUCAAAAGUUAGCCAUUAUUUUAAGAAGACUGUGCUGGAAGACGGGUAUUUAACACAAACAGAUGCAAAAGAUACGGGGUUUCACCGUGUUGACCAGACUGAUUUUGAACUUCUGGGCUCAAUCAGUCCACCUGCCUCGGCCUCCCAAAGUGCUGAGAUUAUAGGUGUGAGCCCCUGCGCCUGGCCAGGGAUGCCGUUCUUCACUCUCCAGGUGGAAACAAAGUUAAACAGAUUUCUCUACGGCAGCAGGACUCAGAGCUUUUUUGAAUUGUCUGACGGGCAGAUUGCUGGGAAUUCUUUUUCUAUGGUCAAGUAAAGAUUACAAGGCUAGAAUUCCAGCGAAGCUAUUUUGGCAAAUACUGACCUACAUGAUUGAAGGGGUCCAGAAUAUGCCACCCCAAAAUAUGCCACUUUGACAUACGGCUUAUUUUGGGCUGCAAGCGAUUGAAAAUGAGCAGAUGCAGGAUGAAUCCUCUGCUCUCUUUUUCUACCUGAAACCAGGGCGUAACAUUCCCUUUGUGGAAGGUGUUCCUCGACUCCCAUAGCAGGAAGUGUAGAGCAACUCUUACCAUCAAAGAUGGACAGUCAGCAUUGAGAUGAGUCUGCAUAAACAAACUUUUUUUUUUAAAGUUUGUUCCAUUAAUCUCCCCCAUGUAUUUGCUAGUCACUUUCCCACAAUUUAUCAUCCCUUUCCUUUGUUAAAAUGAUAUAUACGUCCCUGAGCCUAAUCACUUUGCAUUUCACUACUUUUCUGUGAACUCCUAUGCACGUAAAAAUAUAAAUACAUUUGUAUUCCUUUUCUCCUGUUAA
ensembl:lncRNA LINC02362 long intergenic non-protein coding RNA 2362